rnacentral:rRNA from 1 species
AGUGAACGCUGGCGGUAGGCCUAACACAUGCAAGUCGAACGGCAGCACAGUAAGAGCUUGCUCUUACGGGUGGCGAGUGGCGGACGGGUGAGGAAUACAUCGGAAUCUACUUUUUCGUGGGGGAUAACGUAGGGAAACUUACGCUAAUACCGCAUACGACCUACGGGUGAAAGCAGUGGAUCUUCGGACCUUGCGCGAUUGAAUGAGCCGAUGUCGGAUUAGCUAGUUGGCGGGGUAAAGGCCCACCAAGGCGACGAUCCGUAGCUGGUCUGAGAGGAUGAUCGGCCACACUGGAACUGAGACACGGUCCAGACUCCUACGGGAGGCAGCAGUAGGGAAUAUUGGACAAUGGGCGCAAGCCUGAUCCAGCCAUACCGCGUGGGUGAAGAAGGCCUUCGGGUUGUAAAGCCCUUUUGUUGGGAAAGAAAAGCAGCAGGUGAAUACCCCGCUGUUCUGACGGUACCCAAAGAAUAAGCACCGGCUAACUUCGUG